rnacentral:lncRNA from 1 species
GGGAACUCCGUCUCUCCCCCCCGAUGCCCCUGAAGAGAAGAACUCCUCUCUUUAUAUAGGCUGCCCACCUCUCUCUCCUCCCCUCUUUCGAAUCAAGGAUAAGGACGCAGAGAUUCUAUCCAGUUGUUGUAACAGAGAGCUGUUGGAUUUGCUCGAUUUAUGGACGUGAAGUGAUCCAAAAAUGUUGUAGAUCUGAUCCCGGAUCCUUGGAAAAGCUCUGCUUGCUGGCUUGCUGUUCUGGAAGUUGGGAAGAACACACGGAAGGAGCCGAUGCUGCUGAUCCAGAUGGUUUGGAUGCUUUGGGAGGCCGUAGAACCUGGGAUCUGGCCUUGGAAUCUUAUCCAUGGAUGCUAAGAAGCUGAUUGUGAACGGAAGUUGGACUCGGCCAACGGCUUGGGAGGAAAUCUGGGAUGAUACAGAUGACGUGGGACGUUAGAAUGUUGCCCACGGCUGAGAAGAUCUGUGUUCUAUUUCCGAAAUAGGGGAGGAUAGUUUGGUUGUUUACGGGAUGAGGAUGACUCCAUGGAAUCAAGCCGGAAUAUGUAAUUUGAGUUUAUCUCCAAUCCGAACGGGAUGAACGUGGGAUCUAGCGGAAGAAACUUGCUUGAUUCGCAGGAGGGAUAUGGCUGUGAUGUGGAGCUGGGAUGUUGGGAUCUCGGCUGAAUGCAAAGAAAACUUGGUUCCGGGAUGCAGGGGAUUCAUCCGAAUGCUAGGAUUUGAUAGAUGCUGAACGGAAUGAAAGGGAGAUGAAGAUGAGUUGGUUGUUGAGAUACUCGGAUGCCGGCGUUUGAGAGAAAGAAUGAUACGGUUGCUUUGAACCGUGAGCUGGGAUCAAUUCGAAUGCUGGGAUCCAGGGAUGAGCGUGUGAUUUCGAACGUGAGAUCGUUCCGGGAGAAGGAUCUCAUGCGGAUGGUAGCUGUUAAUAGGAUCGCUAUGAACUUGGAAAGAUGAAAUGGAUGUGGAGUUCGGGAGGAUGAGGUGGAUGUUGGGAGAUUAGUUGAGAUGAAGACACGGGAGACUUGAUGGAUACGGCUGAGAACACAUGGGAACAGGGGAUAAUGUUCACGGUUGGGAUAAUCGCGGAGGAGAUGAAGAUGGCCUGGGCUUAU